rnacentral:rRNA from 1 species
CUUUAUGGGGUGACUGCGUACCUUUUGUAUAAUGGGUCAGCGACUUAUAUUCUGUAGCAAGGUUAACCGAAUAGGGGAGCCGAAGGGAAACCGAGUCUUAACUGGGCGUUAAGUUGCAGGGUAUAGACCCGAAACCCGGUGAUCUAGCCAUGGGCAGGUUGAAGGUUGGGUAACACUAACUGGAGGACCGAACCGACUAAUGUUGAAAAAUUAGCGGAUGACUUGUGGCUGGGGGUGAAAGGCCAAUCAAACCGGGAGAUAGCUGGUUCUCCCCGAAAGCUAUUUAGGUAGCGCCUCGUGAAUUCAUCUCCGGGGGUAGAGCACUGUUUCGGCAAGGGGGUCAUCCCGACUUACCAACCCGAUGCAAACUGCGAAUACCGGAGAAUGUUAUCACGGGAGACACACGGCGGGUGCUAACGUCCGUCGUGAAGAGGGAAACAACCCAGACCGCCAGCUAAGGUCCCAAAGUCAUGGUUAAGUGGGAAACGAUGUGGGAAGGCCCAGACAGCCAGGAUGUUGGCUUAGAAGCAGCCAUCAUUUAAAGAAAGCGUAAUAGCUCACUGGUCGAGUCGGCCUGCGCGGAAGAUGUAACGGGGCUAAACCAUGCACCGAAGCUGCGGCAGCGACGCUUAUGCGUUGUUGGGUAGGGGAGCGUUCUGUAAGCCUGCGAAGGUGUGCUGUGAGGCAUGCUGGAGGUAUCAGAAGUGCGAAUGCUGACAUAAGUAACGAUAAAGCGGGUGAAAAGCCCGCUCGCCGGAAGACCAAGGGUUCCUGUCCAACGUUAAUCGGGGCAGGGUGAGUCGACCCCUAAGGCGAGGCCGAAAGGCGUAGUCGAUGGGAAACAGGUUAAUAUUCCUGUACUUGGUGUUACUGCGAAGGGGGGACGGAGAAGGCUAUGUUGGCCGGGCGACGGUUGUCCCGGUUUAAGCGUGUAGGCUGGUUUUCCAGGUAAAUCCGGAAAAUCAAGGCUGAGGCGUGAUGACGAGGUACUACGGUGCUGAAGCAACAAAUGCCCUGCUUCCAGGAAAAGCCUCUAAGCAUCAGGUAACAUCGAAUCGUACCCCAAACCGACACAGGUGGUCAGGUAGAGAAUACCAAGGCGCUUGAGAGAACUCGGGUGAAGGAACUAGGCAAAAUGGUGCCGUAACUUCGGGAGAAGGCACGCUGAUAUGUAGGUGAAGCGACUUGCUCGUGGAGCUGAAAUCAGUCGAAGAUACCAGCUGGCUGCAACUGUUUAUUAAAAACACAGCACUGUGCAAACACGAAAGUGGACGUAUACGGUGUGACGCCUGCCCGGUGCCGGAAGGUUAAUUGAUGGGGUUAGCGGUAACGCGAAGCUCUUGAUCGAAGCCCCGGUAAACGGCGGCCGUAACUAUAACGGUCCUAAGGUAGCGAAAUUCCUUGUCGGGUAAGUUCCGACCUGCACGAAUGGCGUAAUGAUGGCCAGGCUGUCUCCACCCGAGACUCAGUGAAAUUGAACUCGCUGUGAAGAUGCAGUGUACCCGCGGCAAGACGGAAAGACCCCGUGAACCUUUACUAUAGCUUGACACUGAACAUUGAGCCUUGAUGUGUAGGAUAGGUGGGAGGCUUUGAAGUGUGGACGCCAGUCUGCAUGGAGCCGACCUUGAAAUACCACCCUUUAAUGUUUGAUGUUCUAACGUAGGCCCCUUAUCGGGGUUGCGGACAGUGUCUGGUGGGUAGUUUGACUGGGGCGGUCUCCUCCUAAAGAGUAACGGAGGAGCACGAAGGUUGGCUAAUCCUGGUCGGACAUCAGGAGGUUAGUGCAAUGGCAUAAGCCAGCUUGACUGCGAGCGUGACGGCGCGAGCAGGUGCGAAAGCAGGUCAUAGUGAUCCGGUGGUUCUGAAUGGAAGGGCCAUCGCUCAACGGAUAAAAGGUACUCCGGGGAUAACAGGCUGAUACCGCCCAAGAGUUCAUAUCGACGGCGGUGUUUGGCACCUCGAUGUCGGCUCAUCACAUCCUGGGGCUGAAGUAGGUCCCAAGGGUAUGGCUGUUCGCCAUUUAAAGUGGUACGCGAGCUGGGUUUAGAACGUCGUGAGACAGUUCGGUCCCUAUCUGCCGUGGGCGCUGGAGAACUGAGGGGGGCUGCUCCUAGUACGAGAGGACCGGAGUGGACGCAUCACUGGUGUUCGGGUUGUCAUGCCAAUGGCACUGCCCGGUAGCUAAAUGCGGAAGAGAUAAGUGCUGAAAGCAUCUAAGCACGAAACUUGCCCCGAGAUGAGUUCUCCCUGACCCUUUAAGGGUCCUGAAGGAACGUUGAAGACGACGACGUUGAUAGGCCGGGUGUGUAAGCGCAGCGAUGCGUUGAGCUAACCGGUACUAAUGAACCGUGAGGCUUAACCUU